CGGCUCAGGUCCCUGGGCCCCUGCACCUGCGUGGGCGACCCGGAGGAAGCUCCUGGCUCCUGGCUUCGGAUCGGCCCAGCUCUGGCCGCUGCGGCCAUUUGGGCGGAAAGGAAGAUUCUCUCUCUCUCUCUCUCCUCUCUCUCUCUGCCUUCUGCUAAAUCGAAACCAAGCGCACAGAAUCGCCCCCGCGAGUGCCCCUGGAACGGACAACGCACAUUUCCGCGUGGGCUUGGGACGCCUUCCUGUGGCUCAGAAAGAGCCCAGCCUCUCCCCCUCACCUCCCCGAGCUCGCUCAGCUUUCCCUCACGCAACUCAGGGUGCGAAGGGCGCCUGGAGCUCGCCCCCACCGCAGCUGCCCCAGAACCCGGGGGGGAAAUUCCCACCCGGGGAGGUAGGUCUGGGGUUCUCCCACGUCCCCCCAGAGACCGACCAAGCCAGGGCCUUCAAUGUGACACGUUUUUAUUAUUUUAUUUGAAACUCGGAGCUACAGAGAGAGAAAGUCUUCCAUCCGCUGGUUCACUCCCCAAAUGGCCAUACCGGCCAGGGCUGGGCCAGGCCGAAGCCAGAACCGGCCGACAGGAUGGCACCAGGACCCCGGGGCUUAACCACCUGGGUGAGAGGGGGCCUGCAGGGUUAGGGGAGGUCAGAGGCAGAACUCCGGCCACCGGCCACCUCCGUCAGGCCCUCUGUCAGGGACCCAGCAGAUGGACGAAGCAGCGGAGGAGGGCACUGGGGUGCGGAUCACCCCUUCCCUGGGCCAAGCCCAGAGCCACACACGAGCUGGGCUGGGGCACGGGGCCGGACCCUCCGAGUCUGAAGGCGCCCACUGCCCGGACCUCUCGCCCAGUCUGCCAUGGCCACGGCCGCAGAACCCCAGCUCGGCCCGGGAGCGAGCAGCGUGCAUGGAGCAGCCCCCUGGAGUCAGCCGUGGCCCAGGCAGGGGUGGUGACGGGCACUGCAAGGACCUGUGCGUGUGGCUGUGGCCGCACGAGAGCACGUCCCCGGGCCCCAGCGUCCCCUCAGCCCAUGGCCCCAGGUGUCCCGGGGAAGGCAGGCGCUGGGCCCCAGGCCCCUGAGAGGCCGCGGGCGCGCGCCUGGGCGUUAGCGUCCGGCCGGGUCCCUGCAUGGCUGAGCACAGGGCCCUGCCCGAGCUGCCCGCUCCGGCCUCGCCCUGCAGGUCUCUUCCUGCUGAGCUUCUGCCUUUUUUAG
rnacentral:lncRNA from 1 species